AAUUCAACAACAAUUUUGAAAAUAAACGCCAUUCCUCUCUUCAGGCGGGCUCCUGACUUCAACCAAUAAAUCGCCAUUCUAUUCUUCAGGGGGGCUCCUGACUUCAACCAAUAAAUCGCCAUUCUGUUCUUUAGGGGGGGCUCCUGACUUCAACCAUUUUUUCAAAAAUGUCAUUCCUUUCUUUGGCUGGCACGAUUUUAACAACCCUUUUUUUAAAAUGCCUUUCCUUUCUUUAGGCGGGCUCCUGAUUUCAACCAAUAAAUCGCCAUUCUGUUCUUCAGGGGGGCUCCUGACUUCAACCAAUAAAUCGCCAUUCUAUUUCUUCAGGCGGGCUUCUGAUUUUAACCCAUAAAUCGUCAUUCUGUUCUUCAGGGGGCUCCUGAUUCAACCAAUAAAUCGUUAUUCUGUACUUCAAGGGGGCUCCUGACUUCGUAAUUUCUUCUUUUCUUUUCUUUUUCCUUUACGCUGCUUUGUUCUUGCUUGCUGGGGAUAAUACCACUGUGGGAGUCUUCUUUCUUCCCCUCCUUCAAAUUCAAUUUUUUUUCUUUUUUUCUCUCUCAACACUACUGGGGAUAAAAGUGUUAUACUCUCGGGAUAAAGUUGUUGAGGAUAACACUGCUGGGGAAUUUUAUCCCUUCAAAUCGAUGCUUCAUUCUUCUGGAAGGUGCUGGGGAUGAUAAUGGCUUUUGUUUUUCUGAGCACAAGUGUCAUCCCUUUGUUAUGUCUGCUGGGGAACAACUUCCUCCAUUGAAACUUAUUAUAUUGGGGCCACAUUGGUUCAAAGACCACUUCCCUUGAGACUGGUGUUAUCUUUAUUCUUCCUCG
rnacentral:lncRNA from 1 species